CCGCCAUAGGCUACACUUUCUGAUUCAGAAAGUGCCAUUAUUUACCGCAAACUGGAGACUGCCCUCUUGUGUUGAAUAAGAUGGCACAGACCAAUGGAACUGGAAACAUCUGCUUCAGUGAAUGACACAAAUAAGUUUCUCUGAGGAUGCGUUUUGGUUUGCAUCAGCUAUGCUUCUCUGCCCUUUUGUUUAGGCUUUCUUUAAACGUCUUCCCUGCAUUACUGAUGGCUUUCCUGUAUUUAGGAUCGCAAUCAUUUCAGUUAUACAUAAAGUCAUGUAAAAGAUUUUCCAUUUUACAAUUUGAGAAAGUGGAUUGUAUUUGUAUCUUGUUGCAUUGUUGUGACUGCUUGAAUAGUAUUCCUUCAAUCCAA